GACGAACGCUGGCGGCGUGCUUAACACAUGCAAGUCGAACGGAAAGGCCCUGCUUUUGUGGGGUGCUCGAGUGGCGAACGGGUGAGUAACACGUGAGUAACCUGCCCUUGACUUUGGGAUAACUUCAGGAAACUGGGGCUAAUCCCGGAUAGGAGCUCCUGCGGCAUGGUGGGGGUUGGAAAGUUUCGGCGGUUGGGGCUGGACUCGCGGCUUAUCAGCUUGUUGGUGGGGUAGUGGCUUACAAAGGCUUUGACGGGUAGCCGGCCUGAGGGGGUGACCGGCCACAUGGGGACUGCGGUACGGCCCAGACUCGUACGGUAGGCAGCAGUGGGGAAUCUUGCACAACGGGCGGACGCGUGAGGCAGCGGCGCUGCGUGCGUGAUGACGGCCUUCGGGUUGUAAACCGCUUUCGCCUGUGACGAGGCGUGAGUGACGGUAAUGGGUAAAGAAGCACCGGCUAACUACGUG
rnacentral:rRNA from 1 species